rnacentral:rRNA from 1 species
UACCAGCACCCCGAGUGGUCGGGGGGUUUAUUGGGCCUAAAGCGUCCGUAGCCGGUUCUACAAGUCUUCCGUUAAAUCCAACUGCUUAACAGGUGGGCUGCGGAAGAUACUAUAGAGCUAGGAGGCGGGAGAGGCAAGCGGUACUCGAUGGGUAGGGGUAAAAUCCGUUGAUCCAUUGAAGACCACCAGUGGCGAAGGCGGCUUGCCAGAACGCGCUCGACGGUGAGGGAUGAAAGCUGGGGGAGCAAACCGG